rnacentral:rRNA from 1 species
AUGCGGGCAGCUCUCGGGUUGGAUGGCGUGAUUGAUCAUCCAUGCGGUAUUGACCUUGCUAGAGAAGCAGUGUUGGAAUUCUUGCUUAAACAGGAGAAGCUCCACUCACCAGUUCUUGGUCUCAGAAAACUUGAUCUAGUUGUUGCUGUUGGGUCAUGGGAUUUAUGGUGGAAGCGUAGGAAACUGGUACAUGGGGAGGCCACUCAGAUGCCGGCUCAGAUAGCUAUGGUGGUCAGAUCAUUGGUUGCACAUUAUGCAGCGGCCUACUCACCGAAAGCAGCUGUUAAACAGGGUGUCUGGACACCUACUCCGAGAAAUUUCGUUAAACCAAAUGUGGAUGCGGCAUUUGACGCUGAUACACCACAAGGAGCUGUUGGCGGCUUGGCGCUGUUGUUCGUGAUGGCUCGGGGAAAUUUAUAG